AUACGGAGGGUGCGUGCGUUGUUCGGAAUUAUUGGGCGUAAAGAGCAUGUAGGCGGUCUGUUAAGUCUGGUGUGAAAGCCCGGGGCUCAACCCCGGAAGUGCAUUGGAUACUGGCAGACUUGAGUAUGGGAGAGGAAAGCGGAAUUCCGAGUGUAGGAGUGAAAUCCGUAGAUAUUCGGAGGAACACCAGUGGCGAAGGCGGCUUUCUGGACCAAUACUGACGCUGAGAUGCGAAAGCGUGGGGAGCAAACAGGAUUAGAAACCCGGGUAGUCC
rnacentral:rRNA from 1 species